rnacentral:rRNA from 1 species
AUACGGAGGGGGCUAGCGUUGUUCGGAAUUACUGGGCGUAAAGCGCGCGUAGGCGGACCUGCAAGUCGGGGGUGAAAGCCCGAGGCUCAACCUCGGAACUGCCUUCGAUACUGCGGGUCUUGAGUCCGGGAGAGGUGAGUGGAAUUCCUAGUGUAGAGGUGAAAUUCGUAGAUAUUAGGAAGAACACCAGUGGCGAAGGCGGCUCACUGGUCCGGUACUGACGCUGAGGUGCGAAAGCGUGGGGAGCAAACAGGAUUAGAAACCCGGGUAGUCC